UACGUAGGGUGCAAGCGUUAUCCGGAAUUAUUGGGCGUAAAGAGCUCGUAGGCGGUUUGUCACGUCUGCUGUGAAAACUGGAGGCUCAACCUCCAGCCUGCAGUGGGUACGGGCAGACUAGAGUGCGGUAGGGGAGAUCGGAAUUCCUGGUGUAGCGGUGAAAUGCGCAGAUAUCAGGAGGAACACCGGUGGCGAAGGCGGAUCUCUGGGCCAUUACUGACGCUGAGGAGCGAAAGCGUGGGGAGCGAACAGG
rnacentral:rRNA from 1 species